rnacentral:lncRNA from 1 species
GGGGGGUUGAAACUAGACAAUCUUUGAGGUCCUUUUCAACCCAGGCCAUUCUGUGAUGCCAAAAAAAAAAAAGAGAAACUCUACAGAAAAAGUUAAGUGGUGACUGAAACCACCAGAAUGAGAUUGUGAUAAGAACAGCUGUGUGGGAGGGAGGUAUGAGGGUUGAGUUCCCUAUGGAAGUAUCUAAGUGUAGUUUGUCCUAAUGCAGUUUUCUGAGAGUUGCUUUUUCAGUUGGAGAUGCAUAUUUUUCUUUGGAUAAUUUGGCUAAGUCAGGUUUGCUUGGUUCUUCAGCAGAGAAUGGGAAGACCUGCUCUGUCUGUUCUCUUUUUCAGUGUGAAAAUCUUAUGUAUUAUCCCUAAGUAAGGGAAUGCCUGGGGCUUUCAGCUGUAGUGAUCUCUUCCUACCAUGUUGCUGCCUGUUAAUUCUGGGGGACAGCUUUUCCAGGGCAAGGAUUUCUCUGGCUUGUCUUGCGUCUGUUUUUCCAUUUAACUGCUCUUAGGUCAGUCCAUUUGCACUCACCUGUACUUCCUUUGUCUGUAAAUGAGCCCUUGCCCUCCAACCACUAUCACACACUUCUCCAGGGGUUCAGCGAGAGGAUUCAGGAGGCUGAUCUUCACUGUAGCUGGCUGGUACAGUAGCACAUUGUCUGGAAACUGUUGAAAGAAAGCAGUGAGCUGAAACUCAGAGGAAGAAAGACAGACUUCUAUGAUUAGAGAGGAUUGAUUUGUAUUGCCAGAGAUCUCUGCCUGAGCUGCCAGUUGCCAGAAGACACAAAGUCCAGCUUUCUUCACCACUGCAGUAUUCUUCUGUAGCUUUCUUCUACAUCUUCUGACUUGGGGACUCGUGACCGUGUUAGGGGUUACGUGUAUUUACUUAUUCUUGCACAUAUACAAGGUAGAAGUGGGCAAAUACUGUAUACAACAGUGCAGUACAACUCACUUUUCACAAACUGACGUUUCAGUGCUUUGAAAGAAGACAGUAUGAGGAAAGCCACUCAAUGUAGCAGAAUUUUUUCUGCUGCUCGUAACUACAAAAAUUGUUCUCCCACCACUGCAGUAACAGAAUGACAGACCAAUCUAACCUCAAUAGUCAGAGGAGGAUCACAAAUGCUCAUCUCUUCUUGUGCAAAGUAUAUGUAGGAGUCCUCAUCUCUCAGCGUGGCAGUCAGCCUAAGCAGGCGGUUCUUUCCCAACUCCUUUCCGUACUGUGAGUAAGGCACAAAGACUUGCAGGGUUCUAACUGGAAUACAGAGAGGUGAAAUACAGAUAACGAUGCAACUGAUGUUAAGUUUUUAGCCUGCAUCACCCAACAGUGCACUGAAAACUGCACCAUUUAAAAGGCCGAAUGAUUCUGACUGAAUCUACAAAUUUGAGAACCUGUAAGGUGAUCCACCUAAUGUGCUGCAGCUAUUGUCCUCUUAUUCCCACCAAGGUGGUUUCUUUGGAUUGCCUACAAUUGGCUUUCUAACCAAUAUUUUGUAAACUUACAGGUAAGUGCAUUUUUUCUGAAGUGAGAAGACUGGAUGUACUUCUCCAGCCUCAGCAGAGUCCUUACCUUCGUUGCUUUUGAUGAUAAAAUUCAACUUUUCCUUCCAAAGUUGCAUAAUAGGAACGCCAUUAUAAUGUAGAGACUGGACUCCAAGUACCAGGUCUGUAGCCUUUUCUCUGUCACUGUAGUUAAACACUUCAAUGGAAAGUGGAAUAUCUUGUCCCAGUAUCAGAGAACUCUUGGACUGGAGGUCGAUAAAAAGGUUAACUUUCUCUUCAAGGGUGGUAGGAAUGGAGGUAAUAUCUCUCCUGCUGCUGAUUGCCUGAAGUGUCUGUGUCUUUCUGUAGACUUUGUCAAGUACUUUUUUUUCCUGAAGAGAGCCUGUUGCCAUAAAGAAAAGCACAUUGUAAUAUUCUUUCUUCUUUACUAGUUAUAAAGCAGUACAUGCAGAAAGAGUGGAAUUAUCCCAAUUGUACUGGAGACAACUGUUUCUUAUAGCAGAGAGAAAUAUCUCAUGCUUUGGUUGAAGCAGACCAAGAACUUCAGCUGAGAGGAAAUUGGAUGUGUCCGACAGAUUUCCAAUAGUUUCUGAGCGCUUUGGUGCUAAUAAAUGUCAGAGUAAGAAAAGAUUUUCUCUUUGUAACUGUAGCUAUGGAGUGGUACUGCGUUGCCUUGUGAUGGGCUGUAAGCAAGAGGCAGCAUGCCAUAGGAGACAGUAGGGCUGUGUCAGGUAAACAGAGCACAGUAAUAGAUUCUGAAGAGCUGCUAUUUGAGGGAUGGAUUUACACAAUGUCUGGGAGCACAGCAGCCCUUUUCAGGAAGCUGGAGGCUGAACUACAACAUAAGGGUAGUGGGAGACGAAUGUGCAGUUAGCAGAAGUCAGGAAAGGAGGUUUUUCAAACAGAAGAGUGUCUGAUGGAGAAAGGCCUGUCCUAGUGAGCUGGUAAUUAAGCAGGAUGAAGACAGCCAAAGUCAGAUGUUGUCACCCCAUUCUGGAAUGGGAAGGAGUGAGAAGUGGAUGUCCCUGCUGUUUUGGUAUGGCUCUGCUCUGUAGUUGUUUACCCUUCACUUGUAACAUGGUCAGGGAAUGUGCUUAAACAUUUGUCCACCUUACCUUCAGGAUAUUUGUAGUUGUGUGUGAUAUCCUCACAGCGUUCACUGCCCACACUCUUGGUGCUGAUGUUGUUGCCCAUAUACUUUGUGCAGAUGGAAGCUGGCUUGAAGAUGUCAUCUGCCAUGUGUAUCCAGACCUUGCACUUGGCAUUCAUGGCAGCAAAGAAGUAGCAGACAUCAUAAUCCACUUCCACGUCCCCUUCCUUGAUGGCCUGAACAGGAGCUGGCCCGCAAAAGGAAGGGCCUGAGGAGAAAACAUAGCACAAUUAAGAAUCAGAUGCUUUACCAGCUAGGCCCAUGCUUAGUGUAAACAUAUACAGGGAGUGGUAUGUUAAGUGUUAUGCUGCAAUGGAUCUUUCAGAGGUCUGCAAGCUGCACGAACCAAACACGUCAAUGAUGAUUUAGUGCAUACAGCCCUCAGAGUGCCUCCAUCCCAUUAUGCAUCCCCUCAGUGGAAGCUGGGGAAGGGAUCCAACUGCUUUAUUUGCUCCCCUUUUCUCCAUCUCUCUUUAAUAUCUUACCUUUGCUUUUCUUCUGGCAGGUGGCAUCCAGUGCCUGCCAUCCGCUGUACUCUGGUAGCAAGUCUGUUCGAGCCAUCCAGCAUUCAUUCCAAACAUGGAAAGUCCUGUGAGAGGCACAGAGUGUGUUUAUAACAAGGCACUGAGCCCUGUGGUACAGGACACUUUUAGCUAAAUCACAGCUAAUUAAUACUUCUUUAGAAGAGCUCAGCACAUGGGAGCAGCAGUGAGCAUGGUUUUUGACGUAAGUGGAGGUUCUCCAGGUGGGAUGGGCUGUCCUUUGUGGGGCAAAAAAUUUUGGUUGCUGGAAUUUCUCAAGAACGAGUCAUGUAGACUGGAUCUUAGCUGUUCUAUAUCUUAUAAACAUCCCUGCAGCUGUUCUCCUUUUUCCCUCUGUGACAUCCUAGUCAUAGACACUGUCUAAAACUCUUCCUUGGGCCCUGCUUUGUUUCCUUACCAGACACGGGCACUCUUGUCAGGUGUAAGCAGAGUCCCAUCUUCUUCAUAAUACUCGUUCACGUUUGGGUUGCUGUUAGUGUUGUGAGCCCAUGUGAAGCCUGUGACAACUCUGGUGGGAAUUCCCAGGCAUCUCAGAACUGUGAAAGAAAGAGCUGUGAAUCAGUAGUGCAUCCUGCCCUAAAGUGUCCCUGCUGUUAUAUGUAGAGCCUUUAUUGGUAUGAAGCUUAUUGGAGUGGUGGUGGACCUGGUCUCAGGAAAUGGCAAGAGGUCCCUUCAGGAAGUAAGUUACCAUAGGUGCAUUCAGUGAAUGGUGUGUACUAAUACUCUUUUAGCCCAAAGCUAGCAGUGCUAAAUAUUGAUGAGGAAACUGAGGAUCUGCCUCAAACCUAGAGAUGAAAGGUUAUGUUAUUGAAAUCUGUGUUAAGCCAGGAAUUCAGGUAUAUGCUAGAAGAUUCCCAAACCAUGUAAGGGUUUGAUCAACAUGCAAGUCUUUAAAUGACAACUGUACCUGAGCACAUGACUGCAGCAAACACCCAGCACUGCCCAUAGCGAACAGGUCGGCACUGCAGUGCAGCCCACUGUUGGAGGAUGGCGUUGCUGCCCAGCCACUUGGAAGGGGGUGUCCCAUCAUAGCAUUCUCUGGUCCCAGAUUCUGACAGGAUUCUAGCCAGAUUGCAGUUCAUCUUCAGGGAAGGAGGAGACAAAGGUGGAUUAAGGAAUUAAAUCUCCUUAAUAGGUAAACUGUAUCCAGUUUGAUGAAGCUGCUCCCAGCUGAAAUCAUAAUAACUUCUUGUGAAAAGCAUGAAGGUCAGAACUGGGAAGAAGAUGAUGUGCAAGUCUCCUCUGGGAGUUACCUUGUAAGCGUGCUGUUGCUACUAAGAAACUCCUGCAGCACUGGUUGUCUACUGCAGGAACAUCAGGAAAUGCUGGAAACAGGUAGGAGGUGUUGCUUGGAACAGCCCUGGGCAAGCUUACUCUUUGGUGAGUAGUUUUCCAAAAACGGGAGGUGAGAUUACACUAGUUUCCUGUCUGUAUUCAAUUCUAACCUGCAGGGGUCUGAGCUGUUGGCUUCUCUCCUUACCAUGGCAGCAACUGUGCGGCAGAUGUAAAUGGGGUUCUUGCGCUGGGUGUGAUCCUGGUCUCGUUGGUAGCGUUCACCGAUGUCCAGCAGCUUGAAGCAGAUGUCCACAAUACCCACAUCAAACUGCAAUAAGAACAGCAGCUCAGGAGUUGUGGCCUGAACGUUUUAUUUUCUGAAAUCCCUGCAAGGGGCUGUAACUGCAGAUGCUUGCUCCUUUGUUCUAAUAGUCUUCUCUAAGUGGGCUGUGGAGGAGAGCUCUGGGCAGAGAUUUGAUGGAGCAGCUGUGCAACUUUAUUGAAACAAGAUAGGAAGUGCAUUAGUAUCAUACUGCAUCUCCUGACUGAGGGAAAUUCAGGGUUUUUUAUUCAUAGAGAACAAGCCAGGAAAUUAGCUAAAAUUAUGUAAAUUGGGUUAUGGGACUUCAUACAGGCUGUUCUGUACAUUCCUAAGAAAAACAGUGAGUACGGAUAAGAAGUACUUUCUUCAAAGCCCCAGAGUACUGGAAAUGAAUAGCAUUCUGUACAUACAGGAAGUAGACACCCUUCCUCUAUUGGUUGUAAGAAAGCACAGACAUUUCACAUCUUACCUGUCUGAAGUCCCAGGGCUGUGCCAGGAUUUCAUUUUCAGUCCCCGAGUAGAUGACACCAUCUUGGUUUAAAAUGUACUCCUGCCGUUGCGCCUCAUUAGGCAGAAACACUUCAUCAUCUAGUUCAGGGGAAAAAAAACAUCAGUAGGAAAGUAUUCAGAUGCUUUCAGACCCCCUUGCAUCAGCAGGCUGUAUACACUUAAGUGGUCCGUGGUGUACUGUCCUGGGAAAAUAGGGCGGAGAAGAAUUUCACUGUAGCUUCUGUUUGAGUGGAGGAACUUCUAAAAGAUCCUACAACAGUAGGCUGUUGCACUAAGUAGCUUUUUUACUCCGUUGACUUUCCUAUUCCUAAGAAAAAUUGGUGAUCAGUGGUUCUGACAGCAGAGUGCUCAAGGAAGAAGGCAGGAGUGCUGAGGAAGGCCAUGUCAGGGUCUUGUACAGCUAGCACUGCUCGAAGGGCAGGGUGGGAGCAGACAAUUACUGGGUAGAAUCCACCUCAUCCUCUCUGGUGACACAGUGAUGGAGCUCAGAGCUGGCCUUAUGGAGUGACUGAUCCCAGUCUGCCUUUUUGUUUUAGACUACUUACCUCGACACCAAGGGUUAAAGAGAAGGAUGAAUUUUCCCAGGAGACGGCAAGCCUUGGAGGCAUGUAAAAACAGAUCAUACUGGCCAAUGGAAGCAUUGGCGGGUGUGUUCACAGAGAUGGUCCAGAAAUAUGGGUCCUGUUCUUCUAGUCUUGCACUCCACUGCUUCUGGUCUCCCAGGCUGGAGAUGGGAAACUUAACCUGGGUUCCGUCUGCUUUAGAGCGCUGUGGUCCUGCAGCAAAAGAAAUACAUUUUCCAGACAUUUAUUGCAACCCAUCCACUGCAGAUUUUAGCUACCAUGUCUCGGUCUGGAGCCAUAGCUCUCUUUCCACAUAGGAGAGUCUUAACCCUUUAGCUUAGUGCUUACCUUAAUGCUUCUAUCUUAAAGCUUAUAUAUCUUUUUGACGUUACUAGUGGACUAAGGCCACCUUGUUUGAAAGUGGAAUGUAUAUUUCACACAGUACAGAAACCAGAAACAGUCAGAAUGCAGCUCCCUGGGAUGCUGUGUCUUGUGAUAAAAGUUGCAGCCAAAUGAUCGGAUAUAGAGCAUGUAGAGCAAACUGGGACUGAAUGGUCCUGCUCUUCUUGGGGCUGUCACUGGAAGACAGUCUGGAACAGAAAACAUCUGCAGCAGGCUUAGUUUAAACAUCCCUAUCCCAAAAGCCAAAGUAAGAGUGUGUACUUGCAAAUCACAGAGCAGUGAACUUGCAUUGGUUAUUGUGCUGCAGCCUCUUUUCUGGAAAAAGGUAUAGUUCUGACCUUGCAGUCCCAGUAGCAGGAGGCUCUGCUCUGGUUUAGAUAAACUGUUUGUGUGCCUGACUUCUCAAUCUGUUCAGCUCUGGAUAUGCCUACCAAUACUGUUCUUCAUGUGGCUGUUGGACGAGAGCUCUAAAAGGUUUGGUAAUGUUACCUGUCUGUACAGAGAGGAAGAUCCUUUUCAGCUGCUUCAGGUAGUUGUGUACUGGAGAUGAGAAGUUCACUGUGAUAACGAAAGGCUGCCCCCGCCUCACUAUAAGCCUUUCAGUGCUGAUUUCUUCUGUGUGGUGGUUAUUGUUGUUCAUUAUGAUCUUAAGAUCACAUUUUUUGGCACUUAGACCUGUUGCAUGAGGGAAGAUAAAAUGAGGUUGAGACAGUGAGCUGCUCGCACUCUGCUUACACUCAUCCUAAGGCACCUAUUUGUUUCUCCACCCAGAUGGUGCCCCUGCCUCUGAGAGUUCCUGACCUGUAACUGUCAGGACCUUCACUUUGAGCUGGCAUUUUCUUGUGUCAGGUGGCUAAUGAGCAGCUUCUGCUUAUACCUUAGCAAUGUUAAGAGAAUCAAAUGGCUUUGCAAAGCUCUUUCUGCCCAGCAAUGGAUGUGGAACAUACCUGAGCAUUCAAAUGAUAGAGAUAUUGCAGUGAGCAUUGAGCGUGCACUGUGACUACAGUUGGAGUCUCACAGUGUGCACUCAAGGGCACUGAGGGAACUCAAAGCAGCUCCACGAUUGAAGCUGUGCACGUGAGGCAAGGUAUCACCACUUGCAUAGUGGAUAUGAGGUCUUCUAGCAGUUACUUCUGGUUAUGUCUGAUAUGCAAAAACAGCCAGCAGCUGGUGCAAACUUCACUGCUGGUGCAGGUCUGGUGUGGCUGCAUGGUCCUGGAACUAUAUUGGAUCACAGCAAAUAAAACACCAGUUAAUCCUUCCUGGCACUGCACUGGUUAGUAACUUCACACCUAAAGGUUCCACAGGAGACAGAAAAGCACCUUCUCCUGUCUUCCACACAUGCAUCAUACACCUUGAACGUGCCUCUGUCCAGUGCCAGAGGAGAAAAAAAAAAAAAAGCUGUCACAAUUGCAGGCUCCCUGUUCUUAAAUAAUUUGGUGCUCAGUUCCCUUAGUGUGAUCAUGUACUUGCACUUUUCUUCUGGUUUUGAUGGUGUUCUUAAAUCUUUCCAAAAUUUCUAUUGAGAAGCAGGUGUCAGCAUGGUUUCUCAGGCAUCAUCCUGAACUCGCUGUCUUCAGCUCCCAGUUCAUCACCGAGAUCCUUAAACCUGUGAGUUGUAACUGCUGUCCUUUAUGUGACACAUCCUGUCACCUACCUCCCCGUUCUGACUGAGGUUACUCCCUUUGCUCCAGUUAAGAAAACAAUAAUCCACAGAUCAUCCCCUUUCUGUCUAAACUCACUGCUCUGGUUCUCAAGUGCCAACUACUUCCAUUUUCAGUUUUCAUUGGUCUGCUUUCUUCUCAUGUCUGACUUGCCUUGUCCUCUUUACUGACACCUUCUCACAUUGCUGUUGUCCUCUCUGUGUUGGUUGUGGAAGCCCUACUGUACUGUUGGCAAUUACUGCUUCUGGUCUGGCUUUCAAGUCCCUUUAUGGCUGUUCCACAGCUGUGCACCAGUUAAAUUUUACAGAGCCAGCUCAAACAAAGCUUGUGUAUUUUCUUCUGUAUGCUGAAAAUGUCUGGUCUGGCUGUCUUGUAGACUGGUAAGUCAUAUGCAGUCUGGAAAUGUGGGUUGCUUUAUUUCCUGUCACUUUUCACAGGUCUUUUAGGUUUUCACAGGUUAUUUUAGCUUUCUUUAGAGUUGCCCAGGACCCUCUCCUUCCUCAAGUGGCUAAAACACUUAGUCAUCUCUCUGCUUCAACUCUGUAGUCUGGUUUACCUCAAUCUCUCCCACCCCCACAUUAAGGAUAACUCCCUCAGACUUUCAUGGCUACUGACCUAAAAGAAGCUCAUCUCAUCUCUUCUGGCGUAGUGAACGCUGUCUUGGAGCAGGGGCAGGGUUUUUUUCCUGACAGACAAAUGGCAAAUGCUGGGGUCUAGCAGAGCUGGUUAUCACUUACCUUGGCCCAUGGCUCCUUCCUUUGUAUGGUGGCAGUCCUCAGCUCCACUUGAUCUGGUGGCUGAUGCCUCCUUGCUUCAGCUUUCUUCAAAAAUAAUCUACUUGCAAAGUUGUUUGCUCAGUUUCUUUAUAAAGGGUGUGUUGUGAUGCUGUCCCCUCUCCUUCAGCUUAUCUUGCUGGCCUGCUGUGCAGAAGUUGAGGACUUAUCUGUCAGGCCAUGUUAGAGCUGAAAGGGUGACUUUUCUUUGGUAUGGAUAAGCUUAAAUUCCACAAUUGAUGUGAAGUCUUUAGAAACCUCUUCUUCAAAGAGCUGUGUGUUACAGACCCCAGAAUAGGAAGUGCAAAUCUUAGCUUGGCCCUAAAGUACGAACAGAAUGCACUUUAGGUGUUACCUUUGAAGAAGAGCUGCUCAGAAACAGUGACGGUAAGGUACUUCAAUCCUUCAGUGAGUAAACAGAAAGUCAGUAUGGUCAGUGUACUUGUGCCUAAUUUAAAAAUGUGAAACCAGUCAAAUGACGACAUUUGCUAAAAGCAAAGACUGCAACAAGUAGAAUAGCUGCAGCAUAAUGCAGGUUAUUCAAAAGCGUCACACUGAAGGCUUGGACUAAAUACAUAAUCAUUCUUAAAGUUGCUAGAAGACGGAAGGAAGGGAGGUCACUGUAUUGACAAAUAAUUGGUCAAAAGAUAAAGUAAGCAGUAAUCAACUUUUCACAGUGGAAUGAGUCGGCAGUAGUUGGCAGAAGUCCACAAUCUUCCAAAAGUUCGUGAAUAAUUUGGGAAUCCAAGAAAAAUGAAAAAGGUGGCAAAGUGUGCUCAGUUAUUCUGAGUAAUAAAGAUGAAGGUGGCAGCUUUGGAGAAGUUGUAGAGGAAUAUGUAGAUACUGAAUGACAAGACCAUAAUAGUAAGCAGAGAUUAGUGUAGACACACGUACAAUGAGAGAAAGGGACCCAAGUCUUACAAAUGCAAUGAUGCAUUUGGAAGGAGCUGUAGUCGUUCCAGAAUGAGAUUUGGAUUUAUACUCAAUAGCUGCUGUUAAAUAUAGUCUAGUGAGCUUGCCAAUAUUCUUAUUGUUUGAGUAUUAAACUUUACAGUAGCUUAUCUGAUGCAUUUAAGCAAGUAAAAUACUAAAUCUCUUACUUGCAGCAUAACCUCAAUUCUAUAUAUAUUAUAUGCAAUAUAAUGUACUGCGCAUGUAUAUCAUAUAUUAUGUACAAUAAUAUAUAAUUGAGGCUGUGCUGUAAAUAUAGUGAUUCAUUGUUAUAUACAUAUAUAUCUACAUAACAUAUAUGUGUAGAUUCAUAGAAUUACAGACUGAUUGUUGUUGGAGGUCAUCCUGUCCAGCCAUCCUAUCUGAAGCAGGGCCAGGCUGAAGAAGCUGCCCAGGACUGUGUCCAGAUGACUCUUGGAUAUCUCCAAAGUGAGAGAUUCCACAACUUAUUUGGGCAACCUUUUCCAGAGCUCAGCUACCCUCACAGUAAAAGUGUUUUCAGAUGUUCAGACAGAACCUCUUUUCUUUUGGUUUGUGCCUAUUCCUUCUUGUCCUGUCAGUGGGCACCACUGAAAAGAGCCUGGCUCAGUCUUCUUUGUGUGCUUGCUUCAUGUGUUCAUAUACGUUGAUAAGACCCUCUGUUCUCUGGGCUGAGAAGCCCCAGCACUCUAAUCCUUUCCUCAUAUGUGAGUUGUUUCUGUGCCUUUGCUGUUUUUGUGGCCUGUUGUUGAACUGUACCUGCAGUCCCACGUCUCUCUUGUAUUGGGGAGCCCAGAACCAGACACAGUACUCAGGGUGUUGUCUUAUUAGCGCUCAGUAGAGUGGAAGGAUCCCUUCAUCUGCUCGCAGUGCUUCUGCCUAAUGCAGCCCAGGAUACCAUUAGCCUUCUUUGCAGCAAGGGCACAUUGCUGACUCAUAACAAGCUUUGACUACUUUGACUUUUAUUACUAAGCAUGGAGGUCACCAGAUUUGCAGAAAUCAGGAAAGACUAACUGUGUGGACAGUGGGGAGACAUCCAGAAAAUAAUGUGUUUUUUUUAUUGUUCACAUUUUUUUUCUGUAACAGCUGUAAAUGACUUUAGUGUUAAUGUUUUGAACUUUUUAUUAUAAAGAGCUGUACUCAGUAUAUAGUUUCUGAUCCAUGCUCUUUAAGUGUAUGUAAGAUUUAAGCCAUUGGUCACACUCAAACAGCCUUUCUUCACUGUAUUUUUUAAAUGCAGAAUAUGUGCUAGUUUAUCUAAACCACUCUCUUGGUUCAGAGAUUCAAGCAGGUCGUUACCUCACCACCUCCACACUGUAAUGGCUGUGUGUACGGAUAGUACCAUCUCUUGGCCAAACCAGCAACUGCAAGUAGCAUUUGCUAAGUAGGAUGCACUGAUGAACACUUUGUAAACUGUGAAGAGAGGGCUACUUGUGUCCCUUUGUGUCUUCCAUUACAGCAGAGGUGCUAGAAAGGAAAUCUGUUGAAAGGUUCAACAUGUGAGGGCUGCUCCGAAAGUAAUGCCUCCUAUACUGUUGGCCCAUUAUGUCAGAGUCAGUUGUAUGGCUGUAGAAAUUAAACCUUCCCACCAGCAUUCUGUUCCAUUUUGUUGCUGUGUGACAGAUGGCAGCAGAGGGGCAGUCUGACAGAAUGACAUCUGGCAUGGAAGUGUGUGUGAAGCAAAGGGGUGUAACUGAAUUUCUUCAUGCGGAAGCACUCACACCUGUUGACAUUCUUCAAUGCUUGCUGAACACUUAUUGGAGACCAAACAGUGGCAGCGAGCACAGCGAGGUGGUGGGUGGUGCAUUUCAGCAGUGGUAACAGUGGGUCACAUCCACUGGUGCAGAUUCUUAUGAGCACAGCAUGCAGGCUCUUGUUCAUCACUGGUGAAAAUGCAUAGUUAAUUGUGAUGACUGUGUUGAAAAAGUUGUGUUCUGUAGCUGAGGAUUUGCUCUAUCAAAUAAUAUUAUUGUGCUCUCUGUAUCUGUUGUAGUUUCCAUGGGGGGGAAAAAAAUAGGAGGCAAUACUUUUGGAGAGACCUACAUACUAAAGAGACUUCCACAGGCAGUGCUGAAGUGCUUUACUGGCAUUCUGUCUAGUGAGAAUUUACAAUCUGAAAUUAGAUGCCUGAGAUUUUACAUCCAAGAUCUGAAACCAACAUUCAGCAGGAGGAAGCGCUGAGAUCUCCUAUGUGUGAGUUGCCUGUCUCUGUGGUAUAUCAGGUUUUCAUGUGUUGGUUUUUCUUAAGGCUUGUCAGUUUCAUCUUUUGGUUUAAGCCAACAGAUGCCAUUCUUGUCUUAUCCAGCACUUGAGUUUGGUAAAGGCAAGCCCAAGCACUGCUGGUGCUAAAAUGGUGCUACCAGCUUUGUAUAAUUGCAGUUGUAACUGCAUAGUCAAGAAGCUGAGUUUAGACUGGUUCGUCUAUUUGCUAUAAGCAGCCAGCAGUUUGCGUGUCUUUAUACAAGCACUUUUAAGUAUGUUGAUAGAUAUUUCCAAAGUUUGCCUGUGGCUGUUUGUGUUCCUUAUAUUUCGGUGUUAAGUGGUAGUAACACCAAUGUUUUGAAGGACUGUUUUCUUCCGUGCACUUUCCGUGUGACUGAACGUGGAGCUGCGUGUGCAAGUUCUCCACUCUUACUGAUUGCUGCCUUCACUGCAGCGCUUCCUGUUGAUAGCAGUAUCUUCUGUGUCAGGAAAUGGAGAAGUGUGCAGUUCUUCAGGUACAAUGACAGGUGGCUCUAUUAUAUAGGUCUUCCAGAGGUGUUGCCCUGGGAUUCUUCAGGACAGAUCAGACACUUCAGAAAAACAGGUUUUGCUUUAUUUUUUAAUCUGAACUGUGAAGCGUAAAUUCAGUAAUGUUUUGACCUAUUUUGUCUUGCGAGUUUGCAUGAAUGGUGGUUCUUUCAUAUGCUUUUCAAGUAGGUACUACUUACAUGUUUCUGUCUCUAAAAGGAUAAAGUUCCAGGUCAUUUUUCUGAACAGUUGCCAGCUGUCAACAUAACUUGUUCACAGAUUUAACACACGUUAUGCUUGUCAUAUGUACCAUUGCUUGUAAAACUGCAAUUGCAACUAGACCAGGAGCACCCUGCUUCCAGCCCCUGAGACUGCAGUAUCACUGACACCAGCAUUAGUAUGUUUAACAGCAUGUGCAGGAGAUCCGUGAAACAACUGGGUGAAUCCCCUGCUUAGUGGUAAGGAUUCAGUAAGAAUCAUCAUUUGUUCACUUGGUAUUAACCAAGUCCAAACCUGUACUUGUCUCUAAAAUGCAACAGAAGCAUAAGCAUGUACAACUUGCCAAACUGGAUCAGAAUGGAGGUUCAUCCAAUCUAAUCUUGUCUCUGCCAGUACAUACGUAACACCAGAUGCCUGAGGAGGACAUCCGUGAGCCCCACCCCUGCAAGCAAAGCAUUAUCUUGUACUAAUUUCACUUGGAGCUCUUGUUAACAAUAUUCUUUGUAGUAUUCCCCUCCUGUCUGCUUUGCAAUCUAACGUGUCAUUAGUGGAAAUGAGAGAAACAGCAGAUGCUGUAAUCUCGGUUGAGUCUCCUGUUUAUGCUGGGAUCUCUUUCUGCACUUGAUACCGUCAAUGUAACACUCUGCAUGAUGGGUGACUAAAAAUUGCUUUCCAACUGUGCUGAAUUUCAAUGAUUGUUAUAUCGUCUGUUUUUGGUCUUGUUUACGACUCCAUGAAGUUCUUGGUAGCUUUUUGGUCCCGAGUGAUUUAAAUGGCUUUGUGUCAUGAGUAGAUUUUUGUACAGCAAAAGCACUGCUUCUGAAGGACUUCAUUCAGGUGUGUGUUCUGGCAGCUGUGUGUUCAUUGCAUCCCAGACAUGCUCACGGAAAUCUAAAAGAGAAGUGAUCCAUAGGAUCCUUGGAAGUGUGGAUCCUUGGAAGUAUCCAUCCUGCCUGCUUGUUAUUGUGUUAUCUUUAUAGGGUUGGGGAUUUUUGGUGUUUACAGGUCCAAAUAUGAAUCCAUAAAGUUCUAUAUCAUCUUUAUUACCUUUACAAAUAGAAUCUUGAAGUAUUACAUUAGCAUUGCUAAUGACUAGAUCUCUUUCUGAAUGCAGUGAUUAAAAAAUACAUACAGCUCGGUCUACCUCUGACAUGGCACAUCCGUCUAUUAGAGGUGAAUUUUAGUCAUGGGUGUGAUUUCUUGUCUCUCGGGAGCUUACACUGUGUCUUUUAUUGCCUUUUAUGGUUGUCCACACUGGGUAGGUGUGUGAUAGAUGUGUUAAAGCAGUGCAGCUUUGGUGACAGCCAAAGCAACCGCGUGCUUUGAAACAACCAACUUGGGCUAUCUCAGAUUAAAAAGAGAAGUAAAUCUAUAGAAGGGUAGUUAUUUAAUUGAAUGGUUGAAGCAAGGCCUGAGAAACUUAUAUCAAGAAAGCAGUUUUGGGGAGAAGCAUUUACUGGCUUUGAGACCUUUCCAGCCAAAUUCAUAGUGUGAAUGUUUGAUUCCAGCUGGUGCUGACAUUGUUAUUGUUACUUAUUGGAUUAAUGGGAGUGGAAUGAGGGCUGGGCCAGCCUCUUGUGCAUGUUCAGGUUUAAAUGCUGUAUUUAUAAAGCAAAAUGCUGAUAAUUAGCUGUGUGUUACUCUACUAACUCCUAUUGACUUCUGACCGAGGGCCAUAUAGAUUGUAGGUUUGGUCAAAGUGUUUAAAUCUUUCUUCAGGCAUUUAGACAUUUUUCUCUGUAAUAAUUAUUAGUUUAAUUGACCAGCUGUCUAACACAGGAGGAAUGUGUAUUUCUUGUACAUCACUGGACAGAUAAAUCUGCGUUUUAGCACUGCAGCUGAGCUGGGUGUGGUUGCUGAGGGCAGUUAAUGCUGACACCCCGAAAACCCAGCAACCCCACGUGCUGCAAAGCAAGGGACUUUGCACAAGUGCUCCUGCUGAUUUCCCUUUGAACAGUAGGCUUCCUUUACAAAUGGUUAAUUAGGACAAGGUGAUGCCAAGCUCUUGUGACAAACACUGUGUUAGAUCAUUUCCUGGGUUGUAUUUAAGGACAAAUAGUGAAGGAAUUUAAAUGGCUUAGCUGUACUGCGCCUUGAGUGUAAUGUCAGCCUGCGUUCUUGCAAGACUGAAUGAGACGUUGUGAAUAUAAUCACCACCUCAAGGCCCCUUCUGAGGUGAAUAGAGGACUGUAUACCCUGACUUUCCAAGAUUCUGUAAGACUUAAUUGAUAGGUGCAAAGCUACUCAUUCCCCCUCUGCUUUGCCUGGAGAAAUCCAAAUUCCCGCAUCCAUAUAUGUGUGACCUUUUCAGUCUUCAUUCCAGUCUCACUGGACUGACUGGUUUUGACUAGCUUUGGGGACCCUUGUAAGUAUAUAUGUGGGCAGCAGAGUAGUGUAAUGGAUGUAAUAAAACAGAAAUUUAUGUGUUUUGAAGAUUGUGUUGGCUUCAAAUCAAAGAAAUUUGAAUGAGACCUCAGUUUAAUCUGUCACAGAAUCAGUUUGCAUGUGUGAAACAUUUUUUGGGGAAGCUGAAGCUCUGUUCCUAGGCAUCCCUCAUGCUAGGUGUUGGCAGGAGGAAAUGGACAAACCGUAUCUUAGGAAAAUCCAUAUCUUUGUCAAUUUUGUUUUCUUCACUGCAAGGAAUAUGUUGAUACAGUGCUGGGUUUGAGAUAUGGGUGUCACAAUACUUUUCUCACAGAGGAUGGUGACCUACUUUUAGCAGCUUUGUGGAAAGAGGAUACACGACUGCUAAAUGUGUGAAGAUUCACAUCCUUCUGGUAGGCUGUCCUGAGCCUUUUCUACCAGCCUGCUUCCUGAGAGCUUCUGGACGUGCUGCACAAUAUCUGCCUUUGCAAACUGAAAAAUCAGUAUUGCUUUCCUCCCAUCUGCUUGGCAUAAAGCAACAGGUGGCAGCUCCUCUGUCAUAAGUGGGGAGGGCGGAUCCAGUGGUUUUGUAAGAUGCAGAUGAAGGGCUGAGGGAGGCACGUAGCAGCAGGUCUGGGCACUCAACAGCCCUGAAAGUCAAGCCAGCACAAAGCAGCAGUAUUUGUAGUGGGCUCCUUUUUCUCAAGUGGUCUCAUUGACAAGUUCAGCCAAUUCUUCAGGGUAGAGCAGGGAGAAGUUGCUGAACUGGAGUAAACUAAAAGCACCCACCCUCUCCCCAAGCCCUCCCGCUCCAACUUAAUCAAAGGCAUCAUUCCAAAAUAAUUAGGACCAAUGCACUGACUGUUUGCCUGUGCUGCUUAUAGAUUCUGAUGACUACUACAGCCUGGAAUAGAUUCAGACUAGAAGCGGGCAAUGUUACGGAAGCCAGAGAGCAUCUAAGGUGGAUCUCUACACACAUUAAUUUUUAUUUUCAAGAAAUUGCUCAUGUUUAGGCUUAGCAAAGCUUAAAAUAGUAAAUACUCUAAAGGAACAGCUGCCAUUCCUUAUGCAGAGGAUACAGUUUAGGGUCAUUCCCUCUGGGCCUGCAGAAUAGCUUGGUCAGUAUUUCCUGCAGCAAAUCUUCCAGGCUGGCACCUUUGUCUUGCUGUCAUUUGUAUUUAAAAAACAAUGAAGCACAGCAGUCAGGCCAGAGUUAUAUUCAUAUAAGUCCUGAAAACUUUUGGCAAUACUUAAAUUAGGAAGGUGCAGACAGAAAGUGUGUCAUUUCUAUCAACAAAACAGUUUUGGCUUUGUCUGACACUUUUUCCUGAGCUAUUUUGCAAAACUAAGAACAAUACAGUGUAUAGUACCUUUUUGUUGAUUUCAGUUCAUAUUUCAUCAUUUGCUUUGGCCGAGUAAUCUGCAUUUCUACAUUUCUAGUCCUAAUAAUGUUUGAGCGCUGUGCCAGUCUCAUAAACCAAGACCAAACUGAACUGAUGUAAAGGUUGUAUCACUGGGCAGGAGCCACAUCAAGCAUCACAAAUCCCUUGAUGUUUGAAAAAUGGAUGCAAGCCAAGUCCACCUGAAGCUGCCUGAUGCCACUCUUGUAGGGAACGAUCUCAAACUCAGCUGUUGCGGUCUCCAUGGGGGCCAUUCUUGCCACACUAAAAGACAGGAUAUGUCAGUAAGUUCAAGCAGCAGAGAAAUUCUUACCAUAUAUUCUUCAGAGUUCCUGAAUGUCAGUACAAAAAGGGAGUGUUGGGGUAUGUGACUGGUGUGUUUGUGUGCUCCACAGGUGGACAUAAACUACUGUGACCACAGCUACCUCAACACUGGGCGGAAUUCUGUGUUCAGUAUAAAUGAAGCCCCAGUGAUGCACAUAAUGAUGGAGGAGGAGUCCAGCACCCUAAUUGUAUUUUUCUAUCACUGGAUGUAUGCUUAUACAGGAACUUCAAUCAACAGAAACACAAAACCUUUUAGAAAUUCAGUCACUAAGUGUCUGCCCUAUUAAACUGAUACUAUGCAAUAUAGCACAGGAGGCUUCUUACAGAACUGUGUCUUCCUUUGUGGGUGUGCAGAUCAAGUCUGAAGGCUGUGCAACGCAGAAAUUCUAUCGCUCCUUGCAGGAUGCUUACAGUACAAUAGGCACAGAGACACAGAAGGGACUGGCUUUUACCUCGAUGGUGAGAAAAGGAUCCUGAAGUACAAUAUCUUUCUCCACUAGAAGUGAUGCUCCCUGUCUGGCUUCACACACAGCAGUCACUAGGAUCUUCCUGUCAUCCAGCAGAGCAUUUUUGUACUGAGUGUAGGUGAUCUUGAAUGAGAUCUCUUUCACUGGAAUGCAAACAGAAGCAGAUAUUUCCACUCUUUUAUUUUCUAAGUACUAUAAUCCUAAGGAUACCUAUGUUUUAGGGAGCAAUGAUGCUGUCACCUUGGGUCUGUUCACUUUUGGAUGUUGACAGUCCAUAGAUGGAAAUGAUGCUCAGAGAUGACUUCUGCUUAUAUUCCCAUUAAACACCAAGUGAUUGGGUAUGGUUUGCUAGCUGGGCAGAUCUGAGGAUGGAUUUCUGCACCAGCCCCUGCUGGUGGUUUUCUCAUGAAUCUGAAGCUGGGAAUUUUGCAUUCUGUUCUCACAGAGGAGGCAAAAGUGAAAAGAUGGCCUGAUUUAAAUGCCUGUGCUGAUGCAGCUGUUCAGCCUCUGUCUUAGAGAGGAUGCACAUUCUGUCUUACUUGCCAAUGAGGAAGGCAGUGCACUUCUCAGUACAUUGAGAAAUAAUUCUCAUCCACUCUUGGCGUGAUGGAAGGAGUUAUAAUACUGUGGAUUAGUUUGAGGGGGUAGUUGUAUUCACUUGUCCUAGGCUUUGUUAUUCAGCACUCCUCCUCUAACAGCGAGGCAAGAGGCCUUCAUCUGCAGGUAGUGUAGUUCUUUCUUACUGCAAUCUGCAGUUACUGUCCUGUCACUACAGAAGUAUCCUUCCUGACAGUGUCCAAAAGCCAACAUUUAAAACAGGGCUCGUAUGUAUGUUUCUCUUCCCCUGAAUAGCUCUAACCUCAGACCAUUUACAGGCAGGGCACUUUUUGAGACAUUCAUGAUGUCUAUAUGAUUUGGCCGCAGACUAAAGCUACAUCUUGUCUUGAGCUGUAAUAAGAUUAAAAUUACCUUCUUCAGCUCCAAGUUGAACAGACCUAGACCACUGCAAGAUCUCUGCCUUUGGUUUUCUCGUGUAGAGAACAGCUGAAGCCCUCAGUUUAACAUUUACAGUCUUGAAAUCUGUGGUCAAAUUCUGCAGUGCCAAGGUGAGGAGGAUAUCCUGGCCUAUUACAGGAGGUGCAUCCAGCUUCAUCUUCCCUGAGACAGUGGGUUUUUGUGUGGUCGCUGUCAUAUUUUGUCUCCGUGCUGCUGGAAAUCGUCUCCUGGGUUUUGUAACUCUUUUUCUUCUUCCAGUGCUUCUCACAGCCAGCAGCUUCAGAGCCUUUUUGUACACCUGCCUUUCUUUGGAGGAUCCUGCUUUAAAAGAUAAAGUGGUCAGAGAUCUCAUAUACACUGGAUAUCGGGCAAUUAAGCCAGAAUUGCUCUCAGUAAAUACAGCUUGUGAAGGCUGGGAAAGAUAUAUGAGAGGAGAAAUUGAGGUCUAACCAAAAGGUAAUUUUGACCAAAAAAACCCUAAAUGAAUAUACAUGGUCAUGAUGGCUGGAAAGUAAAACUUGUCUGUUAGCUUUAGCUGGUUGUUCAUGGGCACCUGUUAGAAGCUGUUAGCAGUAGAAAGAUAACUCCUAGAAUAGCUCAGUUCUCCUGCGUAAGCUGGGGCAAAUGCCAUCUCAGCUGAAAUUAGAAAGAAUUUACCUUCUGGGUAUUUGUAAUUAUUAGUGACAUCCACUCGGGUGUUGGUGCCCACUGCUUUGGUGCUAAUAAAUUUCCCAAUCUUCCUGGUAUUGGAGUAGAUUCUCUCUUUUCUUUUGUUGCUAUGCUGAAUCCAAGUGACACAGUCAGCAUUCACUGCUGCGAACACAAAUGAACUGUCAUAAUCCAGGUUCACAUCUCCUUCCUUAAUGGCUCUGGUGGAAGCUGGGCCGCACCGAUAGAUGCCUGUGUGAGGGAGAGAGAAGUUAGGUGAUUACCUAUUGCACAAGAUCAGGUGCGGGCCACAAAUCCUCCUGCUGACAGCAAAAGGGAGAGGUAGUCACUCCAAAGACAUGUUUUGAUGAACUCCAUUGUUUCUGGGUCUUUACAUUAUGGUAACAGCGUGUCCAGAAAUUCAGCGUGCAUUGUCUAUCAGAAGGCACAAACAAGGAGGCUGUAAGGCUGAAGAGAUAUAAGUAAUGCUUUCUGUGCUGUGAGAAUUGUUCUAAUCCUCCAAAGCCUGCGAGGCUGCGUGCUGACCUGUCAAAUGAAGGGAGAGAAGAGGAUGGCAGCUCUCAGCACAGUCAGACUGCUCAGAUGUGAGUCAUCAAUGCUGUACGUGCAGCGUUGAUGAACCAGGAGCUUUAAUUUGGUAAACCGGGGAGUUUAUCUGGAGCUUGGUAGAUUUUAAAUGGUUAAAUAAAUGAUUCUUUUGGCGGGGCUCAUCAUAUGAGUUUGUGUCUGCAUUAAUAAGUAAAAGCAAAGCAGAAGUGUGACCCCAAGUGCUGACCAGCGGUUGUCAACGGUUUGCUUUCUAGCAAGCUCAGUGUUUUGGUUUGGGUGCUGUUGCUGAUGAUGUUUUUCCCCCUGGCCAAUGCUCCUAGUGGGCUGUGCUGGCUUUGUUCUGUUUCUUUUUUUUGUCUGGGAGGAAGUGUUCAGUGCUGUGAACAAAUACUGUUCUAUGUCACAGCAGUCCGUGGCUCCUUUCAUAUAAUUUUGUAUCUGUAUACUGUGUUUUUCAAGAUACCAUAUGAAGUAUCUUCCUACUUGUUCAGAAUGUCCUGUAAAAUGGAGGCUAUGGUCAUAUGGCAUAUCUAUAUAUUUUUUAAAGUCUUUUGUUCAACCCUAUUGCUGUAAGCUCUGAAAUCUAUGCUUACCGUCUUACUGGAUAGGGUUUUAAUUUGUUUUGUUUCUGAAUCUGUCUAAUGCAAGCCAGCAACUGUGUCAAAUGCUAGCGGCAUGUAUUUGCAAUGAGGAAGGCCAACAGCAUCCAGAAUCACAUUAGAAAAAGUAUUGCCAGCAGGUCAAGGGAGAUGAUCUUGCCCCUCUACUAGUGAAACCAGUUCUGGAGUGCUGUGUCCAGUUCUGAGUUCCCCAGUACAAGAUAGACAUGGACAUAAGGGAAUCAGUCCUUCAAAGGGUCACAAAAAUGAUAAAGAUGAGAACUGUAACUGUUCAACCUGGAGAAGAGAAGGCUUGGGGGGAAUCUUAUCAACAUGCAUAAAUAUCUAAUGGGGAGGUAUAAACGUGACAGAAUCAGAUUUUCCUCAAUGAUAAGCAGUGAAAGGACAAGAGACAAUGAAUACAAACUGAAAAUCCCAUUUAAACAUAGGGAAUAAACUCUUUUACUGUGAGGGUGGUCAAGCACUGGAAUGGUACACACAGAGAGGUUGAGAAGUCUCCAUCCUCUGGAAAAUUCAAAACCCAGCUGGACAUGGUCCUGAGAAAACUGCUGUGAUUGACCCUGCACUGAGCAGAGUAAGCAGUCUCCAGAAGUCCCUUCUAACCUUAGUUAUUCUGCAUCAUUUUAUGAAUGUGUGUUUGCAGCUGAGGAAGGCAAGGGUAAGAUAAGUGAACUUAAGAUGCAUUUGUUUUUAUGUAGGCUAAUGAGCAGAAGAAGUAAGAAUCUGCAUGCUGGUAUGCACUCCAGAGGCUGACAGGAGGGCAGUCUGCUGGUGAUGAGGGUAUGGCUUUCUAUGAGUGCCCAAAUUAAUGCUACAUCUAUUCUGAAGUGAGUAGAGGGAAUUAUCCUACAAUUUCAGUAGCAAUGGUUAGGAGGAACAGUAUCUACAGCUUUAUUUUGUUUAUUUACAGCAGUGUUACCUUUGCUUUUUUCCUGGGGUGUUGCAUCCAAAACCUGCCAUCCAUCAUAAAAAGAUCCAAGAUCUCUUCUAGUAAACCAGCUUUCAUUCCAGACAUGAAAAUUCCUUGGAAGGAAGGAAGGAAAAUAGGAAAUCUUUCAUUAAUACGAUCAAUUUUAAGUUGAAAGAUAUGAUGAAUUUGUAGUGUAAUGCUCAUUUUAAUCAAGCAGUUAAUCACUCUUUCUUUAACUUUCUCUUGGAAAAAAACUGUCAUAUAGUAGAAACAAAAUUAGAGGUUGUAUCCUCCAACUGUGUGUUGAACAGCAAGUGUGCCAAAUGUCUCCUCUGCUGAUUCUUCAGAAUGUUAAAACAUUCUACGUCCUGCAUUUCUGAACACAGUGUGCUGUUGAUUCUUUGCUAUAGAGUUUUAUAUCUUUGGGAGCAUGAGGUUGGGGUGGGUUUUCAGGAGAGUAAUUCUAGAUCUUGUGACUAGAGGAGAAUAUAGUGGAAGAAAUAUUAAGAUAAAAAUCGUAUUUACCAUAUGCUGUCUUCAGUCAAGUCCAGGGUCUUCCCAGAAACAUCGAUGUAUUUAUCAAUACUCAGGUUGGUAUUACUAUCGUGGGCAGAGUUAAAGUUUGUAAUAACACGGGUAGGUAUUCCCAGUGAUCUCAGAACUGCAAUACAGAUAUAAGUGCUUUAAACCUAUUUUAAAGACUUCUGGAAAGUAUUUUUCCAUUUUUCUGAUGGAGAAACAUCCCUCUGAUACUGUGCAGGGAUGUCACAUAGUCAUUGUACACAGUUGCUUAGAAGACAGUUCCAUUCACACAGCAUUCUUAACUGCCUUGUUCUUUUUAAGAAGAGUUAGAUUUACUCAUUUUAAUCUUUCAUUCUUCAUAUAUCUUCAAUAGCAUCACAAGGUUAGAGCUACAUAAAUUCUAGUAAGUUUCCUUUCUGAUAGUAUUCUUCUCCCCUUCACGUAUACCUGUGCACAUAACUCCUGCAAAGACCCAGCACUGGCCAUACCGGAUAGGUCUGUAUCUCCCUCUGUACCACUUUCGAAGGAUGGACACACUUCCACUCCAGUGCAAGGGGUUGGUUCCUGAGCGGUAGCUUCCACUCCACUUCCCUUCCACUACUCCCUUUUCAUCAUUGCUGUUAACCUGAAAACAAUGCUUCUCAUGAGAGAAUUACAAUACGUACAGGAGAAGGGAGAGGCAGAAACAGACAGAGUCAUAGAAUGGUUUGAGUUGGAAGGGACCUUAAAGGUGAUGCAGUUCUAAUGCCCCUGCCAUGGGCAGGGACACCUCCCACCAGAGCAGGUUGCUUGGAGCCGCAUCCGUUCGGACUUUGAACACUUCAGAGAGGGACCUCCACAACUUUCUGGGCACCCUGUUCUGGUAUCUAAGCACUCUCAUAGUAAAGAAUUCAUUCCUUAUAUCUCAUCUAAAUAUACCUCUUUUAGUUUUAAACCAUUCUCUCUUAUCCUAUCACUACACCCCUUGCAGUAAGGCAUGUAUUAUUUAUAAAACUGAAAACUUUUCGGUUGCCUGGUUGUUCAUUAUACAUGUUUGAGGAUGGGGAACUGUUGAUGAGAUGUGACUAUUUGUUGAAGGAAAUGCAUACCGUCCUCAUUGAACAAACUCCCUUAAAGUGAAGAAUACAAUACACAUUAAAUGCAGUCAUAUCAAUGCUAGUUUUCCCAAAUAUUUCAUGCAUCUUUUGGUGUUCGAAAAACAGAGCAAAUGAUUUCAGAAUAGACUUUCUAAAUUCAUGAAAAUAGCUAAUGGCCUUAAAAUCUGUUAGGAAGACUGCUGAGAUUCAGUGUCAGAACAUCUUAAAAACAUUCUUCAUUCCUUCAAUUAUGAGCAAACUUUUGGGACGAAGGAAAAUUACGCUUUUUGGGGUACUUUUCAUUGAGAAGAGAUCUCUUAUUCCUCUUCUCUAGCUAUUUUUUUUUUCCAGUAAAAACCAAACAUAUACUACAUGACGUCGAGAAGGUUCACAAUAGAAACACUGAGGUUUUUGUUAGUAGGUACAUUGUAUGGCUCUAACUAGCUGAUCACUUUACCAUAGCACUAAUAACCCUGCACACAUAGAUGGGAUCGUUCCUGUUGGAUACAUCAGUGGAUGGAUCUUGGCGGUGGUUCAGGCUUCGAUCCAGUAUAGACAGAGAUAUGUCAAGGAUAUCUUCUUCAAACUGAAAUCAAAAGACGCAUUAUUAUUAAAUGUUAAUUUUAUAAAUAAAACCAAUGUAUUUUCCCUAUGUAUUUUCCUUCUCCUAGGAUGAUUAUUAUCUAAGAUUUUUCUGUACUAUGAACGAAAAUAGAUACAGUAAGAAAGAAAAAAACACUACACUAGUAUUUAAUUACACUAGUAGUAAUUAGCAACCAGCAUGUUUACAAGCACGUUUUGGUACCACAACAUUCAUGAAGAAAUUACCCAGGCACGGCCUGGUGGUCCAGACAAGACCAUUCCAGGACUGGCUCAGCAGGCUUCACCUCCUCCCACAUCCUGUCGUGUCCUAGCAGGUACGUUCCCCUUCACAUUACAAAAACCUUGCUCUGAUGGGCUGCCUUCACCAUAUAUCAAGUUAUAUGAACUGGAAAAGAAAGAAAGGGAGAAGGAGAAAAAGGGAGGGAGAAAGACAGAGAAUGACAGAAACUGUUGGUGUAGUUGUUAUCCAUGAAAUGGCCAUAGGUGGUUUUGACUGACCUCACAAAUUGCAGGACAACUCUGUAACCACAGAUGAGCUGUAGGUAUGAUCAUAUUAAUAGCAGAUGUGUUUAGAAGGCCAAACUGGUAUUUUAAAAUUCCAACUUGAGUUGUUUCAGUUGAGUAUCUUUGGGAUAUUCUGCCCCAUUACUAGGUCAAUUUUAGAAAUAUUUAGAUGUACCAGUCUUUCAAUAAAUAGAAGUUACAACUGGUAUAGUUUCCGUUGCCCUCCACAGGAGAAAAGAAGAAAAAAGUAGAAUUUCUCCACUUUGUUUAGUUAACAACAGCAACAACAAAAGACCAACGGAAUACCACCACCUGAAAUUGUGUUUUGUUUCUUAUUUCUUUUACUAGCACAUGCUAGAGGGGGAAAGAUCCUGAUGCUGUUGUGAUGUGUAGAAAAUAAUAGUUUGGCAAGAAAAAAAUGAAUAAGGAAUACUGAAUCCCAUGCUAUGAUACUCUUAUGCUAAGGACUCUCUGUCCUUAAGACCCUCAUCCAUGCACUCACUCUUAUUUUCUUGUUUUCCUUGCAUACCUGCCCAUAAUUCCAAGCUUCUUGCUGAAUAUAUUUUUCCUUUCCCUGAAAUAUGAUUCCACUGUCAUUCAGAACAUACUCCUGUCGCUCCUUCUCAUUAGCCAUAUAGACGUCGUCAUCUAGAAGCAGAAUGAGAAAUGCCAGCUGAAAGGAUUGUUGGUUUGCUGCAAUUGAAAAGAAAAUUUCAAGGGGACUUCUGAGGAACAGGUGAGGCAGUACCCCUGCAAUCAUUCACAGAGAGAAUAAAAUUAGCAUGAAGCUAAUUUUAUAGGAACUGAGUAUGCUCCUGCCCUUUCACUGCUUCCCUGAUCUUGUUAUGUGUCUUACUGGUAGAUAUUGUGUCACUUACAACAGAACACGCUAUCAGAGGAAAAAAAAAAAAAGUAGAAUAAGUGUUUGAAAUAUUUCCUUCCUCUAAUUUCUUACUCUAUGAGCAGAAAGCUGGAUCUUUGAUGCAUUGAAGCACUGAAGAAAGAGCAAAACUAACAUCCCUUACGUUGAGCAAAAUAUCAUACUGUAUCAUGCUGUUGCUGUCAGGUACAUGCUUUACUGUGGCACUCAGAUUUCCUGAAGAACAUAAUACAGUAAAACGUACUUGGGCACCAGGGAUUGAAGAGUAACACAAACUGGCCUAGGAGUGCUGAAGAGGUCUUGUUGCCAGAAGCAAUCUGGAGUUUCAGUUUGUAUCGUCCAAUGAUGGCAUUGGCAGGGCUGACUAUCAUGAGACUCAUACGGCCAGGCUCACAGCGCUCUUGGGUUGCACUCCAACCAUUGGCAGCAUCCUCAGAAAGGUGAAAUAUGGCCUUGGUCUGCUGUGAUUCUGCUGGAGAUGGUCCUGCCAGAGGGAACAGGAGACAACAAUUCUGAGUGAUAGCUGUGGGUGACAAGCCAGGAUCAACGAUUAUUUCAUUUGCUAUAUUGAAGGAUUAUGGUUCAUCAGACCAGUGUAAGUUAGCUGCAAUCCAAUGCAUGAAAUCACCCUAUGGGUUUCUCUGUUUUAGAUUCACGACCUAGUCAAGGUGAGUGCCUAUCAUUCUAGACAAGUGAAGAGGCAAGCCCUUGUCCUGAAAAUAGUUGAAAACUACAUAGGCAAGAUGGGGUACUGGUUGUAACAUCCACUUCAUUAGAGAGUUAGCAGCUGCCUGGAAAUUUUUUUUCAGAGAAGGCCCUUUGGAGGAUGGGGAUGGGAGCCCUAGUAUACAGGUAGUGUGGGCUGUUCCAGGAAUAAGGAACACCUGAAGUUAAUCAAGCAGAGUUUAAACAGGUGGAGUGCUAGGAGAGAAGACAAACACAUAAUGGUGGUCUGUUAGAGGUGGAGCUGCAGAAAGUUCAGGAUCCACAAGAUGAGGACAACAUGCAGUAUUUCAGGUAGGUCUUUAAAAGCAGAAAUACAGGCCUGUGCCUUUCCAUUUAUUAUUACCUUAAUUGCCAUAUUGGCUUAGGAUGCCCAUUGAGGUUUAGAAUGGGCACUCCUAAGCCUAAAGUAAUUGAAUGAUACGGAACAAAGGUUAAUGAUCACACAGAAAGCUAUAAGGCAGUAGUGCUUUGGAGCUGGAGCAGCCAGGAUGGGGUUAGUGCCAUGAGGAAAUUACCUGUGCUUGCAAUAAAUGUGAAGUUGUUCUCAGGUUGCACCGUUGUUUGGAAGUUUAGGGUAAUGGCAAAAGCCUGUCCUCUCCUCAAGAUUAUUUGCGUGCUGUUGUAAUCGGAUGUGUGGUGUGCAGCUUUAUUUAGCUUCGAGUGCCAGUCAACUUUCGUUAUUUUCUGGGCUAGAAAAAUGUAAAGUGAGUUAAUGGUAAACAUUCCUUUAAACUUGCGCACCUUGUCAGCUUGUCUAAUGUUGUUGCUUCAUUCUAUUUAUGUAUAGUUGGAGUGAAAUGUUCCAGGAAAACAGAAAAAUCCACCAUCAAGCUAUUAAAAAAAAAUAAAGUUACAACAGUAAACUAGCUAAAAGAACUGCUUUUCCUACAGGGAUCUUAGCUUCCGUUGUGCUUUACAGAGGUAUUAAAAGAAAUAUUAAAACUCAUAUGCAAGUGCAACCUGCAAGCAGUAUGACAGAUGAUGAAUAUAAGGCUAAUAUCUUUAUUGUCAAACUUAGAAUAUACAAGACAAGAGAAUGUGCAUCUCUGUUAACACAGAGACUUUUUGCUUGGGUUUCAUAUUCUGAGUUAUUUCAUACUCUGUCAGAAAUAGGCAAUGAUCAGAGGACAGAUAAUAAACUCAAGAGCUGAAUGCUCUGAGACAGUGCAAUGCGUUGUUCUGUUGCAUCACAUAGGUUGCCCUCUGCAUUUAUGAUGAGAUACUAGGCACAGAUUACAGAAGCUUUCAAACCUUUCUUGUUCUUUAAUUAAUAAUAAUUAUGAAUAAAUAGGUCCUUCUAUGAACGCACGUGUUGGAAAGGUGCCUUUCUGCAGUAUAACACUCCAUGGGAUUUUUGACCUGAAAAUUUCUUGCUAAGACAAGCGCAUGUUAGCCCAACCAAGCUAAUGGUGCUGAAAGACACUCUUUCCUCUUUCACUGAACUGAGAUACAGGACUUGGUUUAGCAUCACCUUGUGUCACUUGAAAUGAAAUUCAAAUUUUGCAGCCUAGAAAGCCAGUCGUAUCCUGGGCUGUAUCAAAAGAAGCAUGACCUGUGGGUUUAGGGAGGUGAUUCUCCCCUUCUGCUCCACUCUUGUGAGACCUCACCUGGAGCACUGCAUUCGGCUUUAGGGAUUCCAGUAUAAGAGAGAGACAGACCUAUUGGGAUGGAUCCAGAGGAGGGCCACUGAAAUGGUCAGAGGACUGGAGCACUUCACCCUUGAAAACAGGCUGAGAGAGUUGGGAUUAUUUAGCCUAGAAAAGAGAAGGCUGUGGAAAAAUCUUAUUGUGGCCUUCCAAAUCUUAAAAAUGGUCUACAGGAAAGAUGGAGAAAGAGUCUUUACCAGGCUGUGUGGUGAUAGGACAAGAGGCAUGGUUUUAAACUAAAAGAGAUUUAGAUUAGGUAUAAGGAAGAAAAUCUUUACUGUGAGGAUGUAGAUACUGGAAUAGUGUGCCCAGGUAGGUUGUGGAGAUCCCCACCCUGGAAGCAUUCAAGGCCAGGUUGGAUGGAACUCAGAGCAACCUGCUCUGGUGGGAGAUGUCUGGAGAUAUCCCCACCCGUGGCAGGGGUGUUGAACCUAGAUGGUCUUUAAGAUAUCUUUCAACUCAAACCAUUCUGUGAUCUGUAGGAACUGAUAGGGUUCUACUACAGGAAUGAAGGAGGGGAGGGGCUUGAGUUUUCUGCUGUGUUUGCACAACAGUGUACAAUAAUAUGUAUAUGCAGUAAUGUUUAUGUUACCUGAUGUGAAAUGUCUAUAAAGCUUCUCACUUGCACCAUCGCUUUAUUUUCCUGGCUUAAAUAUGUUUAAUUGAAACGAACCUACAGCAAACAAUAAUCCUACCAUCAAGUCCUCUAAUUUAAGAGUGAAUUAGAACAUGUUUCCUGGGCUCAGAGCUUUAAAAGAAGUUUGUUUUGCAAUGCUUUAGCUGUAUAUAUCCUACCAGUAUUUUUCCAAAACUUUACGAGUUAAAUAGAAGCAUAUGAGAGAAAAAGCGUUUUUCUAAGAUGGCAUAUGAAAGCUAUCCUGGUUUCAUAUGCAAGGAAAAGAGGUAUGUCUUGGAGAGCAUCUUUAGUAGUGCAGUGAUGCAGAUAACAGAGAACAUUUUGUGUAUCAGCAAACAAAAAUGUAGCAUAUACACAAUAACAACUGAGCUAUGCUUUUGAGGAUGGUGUUGGGACUGUGAUGUUUAAUGACCCAAUAAAUGCUGGUAGGUCUUCCCGUGCAAAACGUCACAGGUGAAGACAAAAUGUACAAUAGAGUAAGAAAUGAUACUUGGAGGAGUAGGAAAGACUUAGAAAAAGAAAAGAAAAAAGGAAAAAAAAAAAAAAAUCACCAUAACAAAACAAAAACCAUAAACCAACAGUGACCAGCAUUUGUUGCCUCUAGGAAUUUACUGCGUUAACAUUUUGGCUUGCCUUCCAAAGCUAGUAGUUAGAGAUGUGACAUGUUCACUAGAAACAAUAAAAAUCUAAUGCCACUCUUUGCCGGUGUAUACUUCCAUCUUUCUCCUUGGUUUGAUCUUCUUUACAGUUUUAAUUUUAAAAUUUUUAAAUUUUUAUGAUUUUUUUUUUUUCUGGUUUCAGUAUCUUUCUUUGGGGAGUUGGGGGGGGAAGGGCUUUCAAUAAUUCUGACAACGUACCAUUGAAAAGAUUGCUACUAAAAAGGUUGUUUGGGAAAGUGCUUAUCCUCUAAUGGAUAGGCUUCGGGAAUGUACUUAUAAGCAACAUUCUGCAGAAUUUUCCAGUCAGCAUGGGAGCCAGUGCUAUACAAUUCAUAGAUAUUAGGGUUGUGUUUCCACCGAGGAGCACACAGGAUGCUUCACAGUGAGGGGGAUUUUGGGUCUGGAGGCCAUCAAAUGACCUUUGUGAGGCCAUUCAUCAGCUUGGUAUCAGAAAGGGAUUGGAGCCCAGCAUUUCUGUGUGGCGGUCUGAUGCUUGUAUCUAUCCAACAAAGCUGCUGAGGCACUGUGUAGAGCAGUUAAUGGAUUUGGUUUAAAAAAAAAAAAAAAAAAGUAGGUUCUUAUUCUACUUUUCUGUUACAUAGGUUAAAAAACAAAACAAAAAAAAAAACCAACAACCAACAAACCAUUCAAGACACGUGAUAUCAAAUAAAUAGAUUUCAAAUAGAGUAAUCAAUAGAUGCAUUUAACCUAAAAAGGGCUAAUUUUCCAAGAACAAUGAGGUGUAAUUUAUCCUAUUUCUGCAGCAAAUGUUACUUAUCUGUAUUGGAAGAGUGAUGACUGGAGCAAUCAAGCUAUGAUUUAUUUUUUAUCUUUAUUUUUUUUUAACUUACCAGCCAUAAGGUUUCUUUCUUCUUUUCCACACUUGGGUUGUUGAGGCUAUGGCUACAAAAGUGUGCAGCAACUUUCUGACUCUUCUCCCACCAGCAUAAGUAAUGAAAGGCUUAGGGUACUGACCCCACAGCUUAUAUAAAGCAGGGUGUGACCUGUGGUUGCAAGUUAUUGUUGUUUUAGUAAUAUCCUACAUAAGCAUCUACUUAGGGCUGAUUUAAUUGCACAAUAUUGGAUCUAAUUAUGACUAUUUAAAACUGGUGAAUGGCUGAGGAAGGAUUAUAAUCAGUAUCCUGGUGUCUUCUCUACUAAGAGAAGAAAACAUUCCAGACUGGAUCGAGCAAAGAAAAUGGUCUUUAAGAAGUCAGAGGAAACUUGGAGUCAUAGAAUCAUCUGAGUUGGAAGGGAUCUUUAAAGGCAGUCUCGCCCAGCUCCCUGAAAUGAACAGGGACACCCACAGCUCCAUCAGUGCUCAGGGCCCCUCCAGCCUGACCCUGAAUGUCUGCAGGGUUGGGGCACCCACCUCAUCUCUGUGCAACCUGUGCAAGUGCCUCCUACCCAACUUCAUUUUGGUCAGGUGGGUUUGUGUCAGCUUACGUUUGUGGAGACUACGUGAACAGAAGUCCAGAUAUAGACAAAUAUCAUACACAUAUUCUACAAUGUGGAAUGUACAGUAAUCUGCAUAGACUUGUAAUGUUGCUGUAACUCAGUAGCAUCACGACUUUGCGUGCCAUAAUCAAUUUAUGAAAAAGACAGACCUGCCUGAAGGUCUUACGCACAACUUUGUCUGAGUCUUUCUUGGAGGCAUACUGACCCUUGAUUUUCUCAUUAUUUGUUCCUGACGUAAUUAUCUGUAAUAUGUGUUCCUUACGUUAGAAGCCAUACGUCCCACUGGGAGGAUAUGAUUACACAGUCAGAGGUUUCUAUUAAGAAUAGAGGGUUGAUUAGUGUCUGCCUUUACUUUUACCCAUUUUUGUUAAUAGUUUGGCAUUCCUAACACGUACAUAAUUUUUCUGUAGCUAUUUAGCAUGGUGUCUUGAGCUGGACCCAGGAGGAAGCUGCAGAGCAGCACUUUUUCUGCCAUAAGCUCUACCCACUGUAAUUACAGACACUUCUCUGCUCUUUAAGCUGUCAUGCUCUUUUGUCCCUCAUCUCAUGCCAGGACUUAUCUAGAAACGUGCCCUGUCAGUUUGUCCCAAGAGGAUUUUGUGCACCAUUCAUUGCACACUUUCAAUGGACUAGGAUAGGUUAGGAGCAGGAAGGAUACUGGGAGAAUGGGUGAUCCCUUAUUUUCCUUGCCUCAAUGCUUCUACCUUGUGCCUUUUUAAUGUCUCUUCUGCUUUCUUUUUUGUUUCCAGAUCUAUAUCAAGAUUGCAUGCAACCAAAAAGGCAAAUUAAUUGUCUGCAGCUUAAAUUUAUACUGAAAAGAUCCAAACUAAGGCCAGGUAGUUUUAGCAAUUGAGUGAGCACCACAAUUUUUUUUUUUUUUUUAGCCAUCCCUGGAGAGGUUUGCAGGCUUGUUUGUGCUUGGAUUGAGGCAAUCCCAGAUACAUGUACAGACUGGGAGUAGGACUUGAGAGCAGCCCUGUGGUGAGGGAGUAGGGGAUCCUGAUGGACAAAAAGCUGAAUGUGAGUCAGUAGUGUGCAUUUGCAGCCUGCGAGGCCCGUGUAUCCUGGGCUGCAUCAACAGAGAGCUGGCAGUGAGCAGGGAGGGGAUUGUCCUCAUCUAUUCUGCCCUUGUGAGGCACCAUCUGCAGUACUGCAAUCCAGACACAGGCCCCCAGUGCAGGCGGGAUGUGGAGCUGUUGGAGUGGGUCCAGAGGAGGGUCACAAAGAUGCUCAGAGGUCUGGAGCACCUCUCCUGUGAAGACAGGCUGAGGUAGUUGGGCUUGUUCAGCUUGGAGAAGAGAAGGCUGUGGGGUGACCUCAUUGUGGCCCUCCGGUACGUGAAGGGAGCUUACAGGCAAGAGGAAGACUGAUUUUUCACAUGGUGAUAAGACAAGGGUCAAGGGCUUUAAUCUAAAAGAGGGGACACUUAGACUGAAUGUUAGGAAGAAAGUUUUUGCUCAGAGGGUGGCAAGACACAAGAACAGAUUGCCCAGAGAGGUGGUGGGUGCCCAUCCCUGGAGGUGUUCAAGGCCAGGUUGGAUGGGACCAAGGGCAGCCUGAGCUGGUGGGUGGCAACCUUGCCCAUGGUGGAGGGUUAGAACUGGGUGAUCUUUAAGGUCCCCUCCAAUCUAAGCCACUCUGAUUCUAUUUGAAAAUGUGGUUUGGGUGAGACGUGAUACCUGGCGUUGAUAGGAUCAGGAACUCUCAAAAGAGGCAUCUGUAUGCAAACACUGACGGAAGUGUGGAGCAGGUUCUGCCUGUGGACAAGUUGUGUUUGGAAGGUUUGAUGAUAAAUAUGUUCUUUGUUUCUAGUGACCAUACAGUGGUGGAAAAAAAAAUGUUAGUUACCUUGUGUUGCUGAGCAUCUAUAUUAAUGCAAGGCUCUUCCUGUGGUUCAUGCUGCUUGGGAGUUGGUCACAUUACUGAGUUGAAUAUGUAUGUGAAUUGUCUGCUCUGUUGCAGGCCUGUGCCCACAGACCAUGGGAAGACUGUUUUCAUAGUCCUUGUUGGCUUUUUUCCCCCAUUCACAAAGUCAAAGGGGUCACUAAAUACUGAACAAUGGAGGAAGUAUUCCACUCUAAUGUAAGAAACUUGUUAAAUACAGGAAAAGGAGCUUUCCUCAGUCUUGUGAUUUCUUAUAAUAUUUUCAUGUAAUGUAUGUUCCAUUACAAAAGAAUACCAUUAUUUUAAUAGCUUUUAUUUAUUGCUGGUAACUAGAAUGAGAUUAUGAAGAGAUUGCAUUAAUUAGUUGAUGGAAAAGUCAAAAUCUGAAGCUUAAUGCAAUCAGUAAACUUAGUAUAACAGUGAAACUAUCUAUACAAGGAAAAGAGGUUUAUUUCUCUAGAUGUCAUGACAAAAAGAAAAAAGGAAGUACAGUUAGAGACUAAAUAAUGAAGUGCUGUAAAAGCAGAGAACUUAAUUCUAUUGUAAUAUGAGAGAUGAUCACUGUUCCCUAUUUGGAGAAGAAAGUCCUGUUGUGAUAAUGCUGAAAUAGGAGACUGACUCCAUCGUGUUAUGCAGGUUGUACUGCAAUGGUUACAAAACCCUUAACAUGUGAAAAUUUGUCACAAGAGAAGUCUACUUGCAGCUGUAAGGGCCCAGUCCUGCGGGGUGUGAAUUCAAAAUAAAUUCUUGAUCUCUCCCUUGGUGCCAGUCGUGCUAGACUGAAAACAAAACAAAACAUAAUUUCAUUCAGACAUAUGUUGUCUUUUCUUGAGAUUCCCAAGAAGAAGAGCUGCAUGAUAGUGGGGACACCAGUGGGUUACUGAAGACCCAGCGCUGUGUUCAUUGAGUUAUUGAGGCUUUGUGCAGAGUGAGAGGACAGUACUGCAAUUGUUCAGUCUAGAACAGAAUGAUGAAGGUUUGAAUCUCUACUUCAUGCUUCCGUGUUAGAACUAGAUACAAGUUUGGAUAGUCAGCACAGAAAGUUGGGAUAGGAAGACUGAUGUUAAAGGUCUGCUGAUGAUGCUUGACUCGUAUCACUGGCAAAAUGGAUAUGGUUACGUAUAUUUUUUCCUGAUGACCUGAAAUUAUGUUCCAUAUUUUAUGAGUUAUCAUGUCCAAAUAUUUCCAGAGCCACAGCAAGUUAGGCUGUCUUAUAAUAUGUAUUAUAAUAAAACAAGCUUUAGAUAAUUAAUACUCAACACUGAGUGAAUUCAUUUUAAAAAAAUGUCCAAGGGUUG